UCCACCUGCAAUUUAAUAAACUGCAGUUCAAAAUCCCUUUUCCACCUGCAAUUUAAUAAACUGCAGUUCAAAAUCCAUUUCCCUUUCCUGUUCGCUCCGGGAUUAGCUGCUGGAUUAGCUCCUGGAUUAGCUGCUGAAUUAGCUCUUCGAUUAACAACUUGCUGGAGGCUAUUCAAAUUAGCCACACCGUGGGAUGUAAGGAGCUCUCUGAUUGGUUGGUCAGACACAGGCUGUCUGCCAGCCUGGAUUUUUCUAGCUCAUAGCUUCUCCCUGCUAAGAAGCGUGUGUGCUUGUACAAAGGCCGUUCAGCCUCGGGAUUUACACUCGGCUCGACACGGAUAUGUGAAGAAUGAAGGGACCCUGCAGCGAAACGGAGAGCGCAACCUCUGACUGAGUGCCUGUUUACGCAGUCUGACCACCUGUUGAAGGGCUGUUUGAUGACGAUUUGGACUCCUCUGGGAGAUGAGGACACACCCACAUCUGUUCCAUACUGCAGCCAUUGAUGGUGUUACAGCUUUGAGUCAGCUUUAGGCCAUCAGAUGCACACACUGGAAAACCAGCACCUGGACUUCAUGCAGAAGAGACGGCCUCAGUGAUUUAGAAUUCAUCAGCAGCUGUGAAGAGAUGCAUUUGAAUAUCUUCUGGUUCCACUUUUCCUUCCCAGAAAGCUGAGGAUGGCUAAUUCCUGACAA